UAGCCGGGGCCCACUUACUCUGCUUGGGAAACAUACGACAUUUCUGGGUUAGUGAUUCAUUUCAUCUGGGACCUCAGGGUGCCCUGCUGACAUACGAUACAGUAGUCUUUGCAAGGAGCCCACAGGCAUUUCUUCAUUAAGUCCUGAGUGUCAGGGAGGCCACCCAGAAUGGAGAGCUGGGCCUGGGCAGAAUUUGGAGUUGGGUGCAUUGGCUGGAGCCCCGGGAGGCCUGGGUGCGGCUGUGCCCUGCUGGCUGCCCUGCAGGGACAGCAGACAGGGAGGCGGGCUGGAGCCGCCGCAGUGCACUCUGCCUGCAGGAGCUUUCUUGCUCACCUAGAGCCCAGGAGAAGGCUCCUACCAGAAUAUAACUCUAUGUGGACAAGGACUUGUCCACUUCUUCACUGAGGUGUCCCCACCACCAAGCACAAUGCCUGGUACAGGAUGAAGAUCCUGAAGCAUAGAGAUGUCGACAGACCAUUUGCUCAAGCAGCCCUACCCCUGAAGGUGUAUUUAAAGAAUCGGACAAAUAAUUAUUUGUGUAUGGGGGACACAGCUUAGUACUAAAAUGCUAGUCCAAAAUUGCAUGUAAAUUGGAAGGAGAGUGAUUUAAAUUAAGGAGUUCAGGGGUCCUAAUAUUUGUCAGGAGGAGGAAAUAAAUUAACUUUAGGGUUUAUUAAGUGCGCAUGUUAAAAUAAGUAGCAUAAUGGCUAAAAGAAUAGGCAUAUAAUAUAUAACUGAAACAAAUGGGAGUGAGGUGGGAAAAUAAAAUGAAAAAAAGAGAUAAAAGCCCUAAAAAAAUCUCAAUUACUCUCGGUGGAUGUGUUAUUGUUCAGAAAAUAUUCACUCUGUCUUCCCACCUUCCCCUGAGAGGAGUUUAGUUCCCCACUUCAUUGUUGUUGAGCUUGACUGCGUGUUUUAGCCAAUGGAAGGUGAGUAGCUGUUAACACAGGCCUUUAAAUGUCCUCGAAUAAUGUGGCUUUGUCUCAUGUGCUUCUGCCUCUGCCACCUGCCCCAGAAACCCUCGCUGCUUCAGCCUGGUCCAAGGAGAAUAGUCUUAGACUAUACCCACAAUAUGGAAUAACAAAAAGAUCGGGCAGAGCUGUAGCCUCAGAUCUGAGAAUGAGAAAUACAUUUUGUUGUUGUUAAUCCUCAUCCAAGGAUAUUUUUUCCAUUGAUUUUUUGAGAGAGUGGAGGGAGGGAGGAAGAGAGAGAGAAGGGAGAG